rnacentral:rRNA from 1 species
AAGUACGGUAAUUACGUGGGACGUAAAGCGCAUGCAGGCGGCCUGUUAAGUCAGAUGUACGGAAACCCGGGGAACCGUUUAACCGUACGGUAAUUGCUAUUUAGUAAACGUGGCGAGGCUAGAGUCUUGUAGGAGGGGGGUAGGAAUUUCAGGUGUAGCGGUGAAAUGCGUAGAGAUCUGAAGGAAUACCAGUGGCGAAGGCGGCCCCCUGGACAAAGACUGACGCUCAGAUGCGAAAGCGUGGGGAGCAAACAGGAUUAGAUACCCUGGUAG